CCGCAACGAGCGCAACCCUUGUCGUUAAUUGCCAUCAUUUAGUUGGGCACUUUAACGAGACUGCCGGUGACAAACCGGAGGAAGGUGGGGAUGACGUCAAGUCCUCAUGGCCCUUAUGGGUAGGGCUUCACACGUCAUACAAUGGUCGGUACAGAGGGUUGCCAAGCCGCGAGGUGGAGCCAAUCCCAGAAAGCCGAUCGUAGUCCGGAUUGCAGGCUGCAACUCGCCUGCAUGAAGUCGGAAUCGCUAGUAAUCGCGGAUCAGCAUGUCGCGGUGAAUACGUUCCCGGGUCUUGUACACACCGCCCGUCACACCAUGGGAGCGGGUUCCGCCAGAAGUAGGUAGCCUAACCGCAAGGGGGGCGCUUACCACGGCGGGGUUCGUGAGUGGGGUGAAGUCGUAACAAGGUAACCGU
rnacentral:rRNA from 1 species